CGGAAUUUUACACUUAGAUCUGGCAAAAUGAUCGGCCCUUAUUUCUCCCAGUUUUCUUUAUCGACUGCCUGAAAGUGAAAUCAAAGGAUGGUGUGGCCUUCUCCACAGAGGAAGAACAAUUCCAAUGUCCCACAUCCCAACAGCUAGCGCAUUAAAUAAAUCAAGAUUCCCAGCAGCCUCCAGCAUACUAAAGAUAAAACAUCAAGGAAGAACUUGAGACCAAAGUCAUGAAAUGCAGACAGACAUUCUAUGAGGUAUUUAUUUGCAACGAUUAGGUUUGCUUGCUCAGCGUCAGGUCACCAAAGACAAAUGUUCAGGCUCCCGGUGGAUCCGAACCAAAGUUCAUACAGUUUGGCCACUUUAGGAUGGCAAGCAUUUGGAGAGGAGAGGAUCACCUUA